rnacentral:rRNA from 1 species
AAGGAAUAUUGGGCAAUGGAGGCAACUCUGACCCAGCCAUCCCGCGUGAAGGAUUAAGGCCCUAUGGGUUGUAAACUUCUUUUGCUUGGGAAGAAAUCUGGACAUUUAUGUGCAGUUGACGGUACCUUGCGAAUAAGCACCGGCUAACUCCGUGCCAGCAGCCGCGGUAAUACGGAGGGUGCAAGCGUUAUCCGGAAUCACUGGGUUUAAAGGGUGCGUAGGCGGUUUGAUAAGUCAGAGGUGAAAGCUAGCAGCUUAACUGUUAAAUUGCCUUUGAUACUGUCAGACUUGAAUCAGGUUGAGGUAGGCGGAAUGUGACAUGUAGCGGUGAAAUGCAUAGAUAUGUCAUAGAACACCAAUUGCGUAGGCAGCUUGCUGGGCUUGAAUUGACGCUGAGGCACGAAAGCGUGGGGAUCAAAC